rnacentral:rRNA from 1 species
AACGCGAAGAACCUUACCAACUCUUGACAUCCCCCUGACCGGUACAGAGAUGUAUCUUCCCCUUCGGGGGCAGGGGUGACAGGUGGUGCAUGGUUGUCGUCAGCUCGUGUCGUGAGAUGUUGGGUUAAGUCCCGCAACGAGCGCAACCCUUGUCCUUAGUUGCCAGCAUUUGGUUGGGCACUCUAGGGAGACUGCCGGUGACAAACCGGAGGAAGGUGGGGAUGACGUCAAAUCAUCAUGCCCCUUAUGAGUUGGGCUACACACGUGCUACAAUGGACGGUACAAAGGGCAGCGAAGCCGCGAGGUGGAGCCAAUCCCAGAAAGCCGUUCUCAGUUCGGAUUGCAGGCUGCAACUCGCCUGCAUGAAGUCGGAAUCGCUAGUAAUCGCAGGUCAGCAUACUGCGGUGAAUACGUUCCCGGGUCUUGUACACACCG